rnacentral:rRNA from 1 species
GGUGGAUCACUCGGUUCGUGU